CCUACGGGUGGCAGCAGUGAGGAAUAUUGGUCAAUGGGCGCGAGCCUGAACCAGCCAAGUAGCGUGAAGGAUGACUGCCCUACGGGUUGUAAACUUCUUUUAUAAAGGAAUAAAGUUCGGCACGUGUGCCUUUUUGUAUGUACUUUAUGAAUAAGGAUCGGCUAACUCCGUGCCAGCAGCCGCGGUAAUACGGAGGAUCCGAGCGUUAUCCGGAUUUAUUGGGUUUAAAGGGAGCGUAGAUGGGUUGUUAAGUCAGGUGUGAAAGUUUGGGGCUCAACCGUAAAAUUGCAAUUGAUACUGGAAGUCUUGAGUACAGUUGAGGUAGGCGGAAUGCGUGGUGUAGCGGUGAAAUGCUUAGAUAUCACGAAGAACUCCGAUUGCGAAGGCAGCUUACUAAACUGCAACUGACACUGAUGCUCGAAAGCGUGGGUAUCAAACAGGAUUAGAUACCCCAGUAGUC
rnacentral:rRNA from 1 species